rnacentral:rRNA from 1 species
UACAGAGGGUGCAAGCGUUGUUCGGAAUUAUUGGGCGUAAAGCGCGUGUAGGCGGCUCGUUAUGUCGGGUGUGAAAGCCCUCAGCUUAACUGAGGAAGUGCGCCCGAAACUGGCGAGCUUGAGUGUCGGAGAGGAUAGCGGAACACCCGGUGUAGAGGUGAAAUUCGUAGAUAUCGGGUAGAACACCAGUGGCGAAGGCGGCUAUCUGGACGACAACUGACGCUGAGACGCGAAAGCUAGGGGAGCAAACGGG